UAGAUUUUUGUUCACAUGAAUUUAUUAUGCUCGAAUUUGUACACAUGAUUUACAAAGAGUAAACUGACAAAAGUUUAUAAUCUGACUGAACCAGGCUUAAUCCAUUAUAAGAAAAAAUGACAAAGCUUCACAUUUGCUCCACUUAACACACUAAUAUCACAGUACCACAUCCAUCUUAACAAACUCACUAACACGUCAUGAGCUUAAAAAUGUUCAUAUCUGCCACUUAUUUCUAAAUGAGGUCAACGACAACCAUCAUUUGUCACUUGUUGUGGCGGUUCUGCAGCAAGACCCACCACAGCACAGCACCUUGGUCCGGCACAACCUUCUUUAUUUUCUUCUGAUGAGGAAACCAUCGAAUUGAAGCACUGUGAUGUUGGGAUAUUCCAUUGGUAUGUUGAUUUCACUUUGAAGUCAAUUGAAACACCGAUAAGAUUUACAACCUAGCAGAGAACUAGUAGAAAUUAGACUACAGAGAAGAAAGAUAGCAGUACGCGUAGGCUAUUCUGUCAAGGCAAACAUGUGUGGCAUAUCAUUUGCAAUCUUCAAGGCAAGCUGCAAAUGCAAGGGGCGAGAGGUGGUGUCGCUGAAGAUCGGAGCAGUUCGCUCCUUGCACAAAUUUCAGAUGAGGUACGAGCAUGGUUUUAAAUAGCCCGCUAUAGCACGCUAUAGCAUUUAAAAGAGGUCCUGCGCUAAGAGUCUUUUGUCCAAACACAUGAGCAAACGUUUUAAAUAGCUCUCUAUAGCACCGCUAUAGCACGCUAUAGCAUUUAGAAGAGGUCCGCCGCUAAAAGGCUUAGCGUGCUAUUUAAAACUUUGGGUACGAGGCUAUAACAUUAAGCAUGGUUCUGGUUUUCAGUACAGGCUCUGAACACACGGUCUCCCACAAGCUUAGCAAAUCAGUGUUCAGGUUAGAGGACAGGGUUAGCCGGAGACAAUGGAGCAGAGUACAUACAUGUAGUGAAACCUGUUUUGAGAAAGGGCAGUUAAGGCAUGGGUACGAAGCAAAUUCAAGGACUCUCGCAAAAUUAAUGGAAGGAUAACUAAUGUGCUCACCAACAAUUACAAAAGGGGGAUGCCGUGUAUAUGUAUUCUACUUCUUGUAGUCCCUAACAAUGUUAUCCCGAGCGGGAGAAGGCGGUGAAAUAAAUCAUGGGUUGGAUCGAUGCAACCCAUUAUGAAAUAAGAAUGGGAGGCGUAUGGAAACUCAUCAUCUCGACGGAGCACGUAAGACAUCGACUCAUCCCAAGUCAAAGUAUUGCUGAGGAGGGAAGGCAGCAGCCGAAACUCUGGAAUACUCCCGGGGUAGAUAAGAUAACAGUACAGAUCAGCCCAAACUACCCAACCUCAUUCCACGCAGAUACUGAAAAUGGUGCAGAUCGAUUUCUCCCCCACUUCCUCCUCAACCCCCUGAACUGCAAUCCAUGUUGACCUCACCAAGACCUAGAGCUAGGGUACACAAGGAAAGCAAAGGGGGGAAACGGGACUUGGGACUACCUCGCCGAAGGCCGCCGCAUGUCUAGUCGCCGGAAUCGAUGCGCCGCUCUUGAGCAACGGCGGGUGGGGGUGGGUACUGUACAGAAAGCAAG
rnacentral:lncRNA from 1 species